rnacentral:lncRNA from 1 species
GUUUCCUCAGGGACACACAAAACCACCGUUCCCAUAGCAACACUGUCUUGUGAUGUCAGAAAUCAGGGCUAGGCCUUGAAUGAUAAAACAAAAGCAUGUUGGCUAGCUGGCAAGGAAAGCGUGGUGAAAAGGAUGGUGCUAGGCUCCAAUGAGAGGAAGCACUGCGUCUGUACCUACACACCAUGUAAUUGUUUUAUACUUGAGAUUUCAGAGAAAACGAGAUAUUGAUUUAAGGGGAAGCCUCAAUGUAGAAGCAGUUGGAGUAGCUGUUGAGUUUGCAGAUACUCAAGUGCAACCACUAACAAAUGGUGUUGAAGAAUCCAGCAUCAACAUAUCUGCCAAGAUCUCUGAAGUGACUAAACUUAGGCCCAUCCUGAUCAGUGAUUCCCAGGCUGUGAGCUGCAGGCUUGAGUUUACACACAGUCACGGGAGGGGUCCUUCAUCCACAGCCUCUUUGGCCAAAUAACUAGCGUGUCUCACGCACAGUUCCUCGUUUCUGCUCACGUGUUUACUUGGGCACAUCGCACGUCCCCUACAUUGCUGUGCCUGGUGCGAAGAGCAUAAAGAGGAGCAAGCCACGGAUUUUUGGAGGAGACAGACAUGCACAUCUUGAGCAUGCUGAGACGUGUUAAGUGCAGUGCCUGGAGCUUAAGGUCACUCAGAGGAGAGAAGCCGUGGGAAGAGCAAGUGAGGGGAAACAGGGUGGUGGUGGGGGGAAUAUCCGUAGAGGAGGCCCCACUGCUGAUGGGAUUCCUGCCCAAGGGAAAGCAGCACCAAGGCAAAUGUGGGGAGCCGGGCAGGGGCUGCAGGGCCGUGACUGCAGGCCGAAGUAGCAGCACGAGCCAUUAUAAUAUGUGAAUUUAACCUAAGCUGGUUGUGCUUUGCCAGAACUGGAGUCAGAGCCUGUAUUUCAAGUGAGUGAAAUUAUAUGAGGUCACUGCACUUUAGAAACAAACAAACAAAAAAUUAGUGAAGCAAAAGCACUAUUUCCUGUUGCUCCAGAUCCUGGGGAACCCCCAGGGAAAGGUACAUUUAAAAAACUGGGUGGGGAUCCCUGGGUUGCUCAGCGGUUUAGCGCCUGCCUUUGUUNUCAGUGGUUUAGCGCCUGCCUUUGGCCCAGGGCGUGAUCUUGGAGUCCCAGGAUUGAGUCCUGCGUCGGGCUCCUGGCAUGGAGCCU